rnacentral:rRNA from 1 species
AUUCUGGCUCAGGAUGAACGCUAGCGACAGGCUAACACAUGCAAGUCGAGGGGCAGCAUAAAAGUAGCAAUACUUGGUGGCGACCGGCGCACGGGUGAGUAACGCGUAUGCAACCUACCUAUCAGAGGGGAAUAACCCGGCGAAAGUCGGACUAAUACCGCAUAAAACAGGGACACCGCAUGGUGAUAUUUGUUAAAGAAAUUCGCUGAUAGAUGGGCAUGCGUUCCAUUAGGUAGUUGGUGAGGUAACGGCUCACCAAGCCGACGAUGGAUAGGGGAACUGAGAGGUUGGUCCCCCACACUGGUACUGAGACACGGACCAGACUCCUACGGGAGGCAGCAGUGAGGAAUAUUGGUCAAUGGGCGAGAGCCUGAACCAGCCAAGUCGCGUGAAAGGAAGAAGGAUCUAUGGUUCGUAAACUUCUUUUGCAGGGGAAUAAAGUGCAGGACGUGUCCUGUUUUGUAUGUACCCUGAGAAUAAGGAUCGGCUAACUCCGUGCCAGCAGCCGC